rnacentral:rRNA from 1 species
UGGGGAAUAUUGGACAAUGGGCGAAAGCCUGAUCCAGCAAUGCCGCGUGAGUGAUGAAGGCCUUAGGGUUGUAAAGCUCUUUUUACCAGGGAUGAUAAUGACAGUACCUGGAGAAUAAGCUCCGGCUAACUACGUGCCAGCAGCCGCGGUAAUACGUAGGGACCAAGCGUUGUUCGGAUUUACUGGGCGUAAAGGGCGCGUAGGCGGCAAUUCAAGUCAUCUGUGAAAUCUCCGGGCUUAACUCGGAACGGUCAGAUGAUACUGCUUUGCUAGAGUGCAGAAGGGGCAAUCGGAAUUCUUGGUGUAGCGGUGAAAUGCGUAGAUAUCAAGAGGAACACCUGAGGUGAAGACGGUUGCUGGGCUGACACUGACGCUGAGGCGCGAAAGCCAGGGGAGCAAACGGGAUUAGAUACCCAAGUAGUCCCUGAGCGGGCUGGCAAGGCGC